CGUGAGCAAUCUGCCUUGGAGUGGGGAAUAACGGUUGGAAACAGCCGCUAAUACCGCAUGAUGCGUCUGGGAGGCAUCUCUCUGGACGCCAAAGAUUUAUCGCUCUGAGAUGAGCUCGCGUCUGAUUAGCUUGUUGGCGGGGUAAAGGCCCACCAAGGCGACGAUCAGUAGCCGGACUGAGAGGUUGGCCGGCCACAUUGGGACUGAGACACGGCCCAGACUCCUACGGGAGGCAGCAG
rnacentral:rRNA from 1 species